rnacentral:rRNA from 1 species
GACAGAGGGGGCAAGCGUUGCUCGGAAUUACUGGGCGUAAAGGGCGCGUAGGCGGGAUGGCAAGUCGGUCGUGAAAUCCCUCGGCUCAACCGAGGAACGUCGAUCGAUACUGCUGUUCUUGAGGAUUGCAGAGGAGACUGGAAUUCCCGGUGUAGCGGUGAAAUGUGUAGAGAUCGGGAGGAACACCGGUGGCGAAGGCGGCCUGCUGGGCAGUUUGGCUGACACUGAGGCGCGACAGCGUGGGGAGCAAACAGG